AAAAUAAGUCGUCUUAUCGCAAUUUUAAUUCCUUUGGAGUUGGGUUGAGGAAAGUCCGAACAGCAAAGAGCAUCAUGCUACCUAACGGGUAGGAAAUAAUUGGGAGACUGAUUAUUUACAGCCAGUGCAACAGAAAAUAAACUACCACAGCAAUGUGGAAAAGGUGAAAAGGUAGGGUAAGAGCCUACCGCUCGAUUGGUGACACGAGAGGCAUGGUAAACCUCAUGAGCUGAAAGACCAAAUAUACCGACGUAUCAGUGAGCAGUUAUCAAUUAGUCGUAAUUCAGAAAUGAUGUACAUAAAGGUUAAUUGAUAACUGUUCACUGAAAAGGGUUGCUCGUCCGAGUCGGAGGGUAGGUUGAUAGAGGCAAGUAGUGAUACUUGUUCGAGAUAAAUGAUAAGAUUAACUAACAGUUUACUGCUAGUUAAACAGAAUUCGGCUUAUAGGCUUAUUUUUUCU
rnacentral:RNase_P_RNA from 1 species